rnacentral:rRNA from 1 species
GAUGAACGCUGGCGGCGUGCCUAAUACAUGCAAGUCGAGCGAACGGACGAGAAGCUUGCUUCUCUGAUGUUAGCGGCGGACGGGUGAGUAACACGUGGAUAACCUACCUAUAGGACUGGGAUAACUUCGGGAAACCGGAGCUAAUACCGGAUAAUAUUUUGAACCGCAUGGUUCAAAAGUGAAAGACGGUCUUGCUGUCACUUAUAGAUGGAUCCGCGCUGCAUUAGCUAGUUGGUAAGGUAACGGCUUACCAAGGCAACGAUGCAUAGCCGACCUGAGAGGGUGAUCGGCCACACUGGAACUGAGACACGGUCCAGACUCCUACGGGAGGCAGCAGUAGGGAAUCUUCCGCAAUGGGCGAAAGCCUGACGGAGCAACGCCGCGUGAGUGAUGAAGGUCUUCGGAUCGUAAAACUCUGUUAUUAGGGAAGAACAUAUGUGUAAGUAACUGUGCACAUCUUGACGGUACCUAAUCAAAAAGCCACGGCUAACUACGUG